GUUCACGAAGUGCGCCACAUGUUGCAUGGACUAAACCAACAAAUCAUCAAUUGAUAUCCCACAAAAAUGUAUUAAACUUGCUGCUGAUCACAUUAGUGAUGCACUUACAGCGGUGUUCAAUAACUCUCUUAAACAGGGAAUUAUGCCUGACAUUUGAAAGAUAUCUAGAAUAACGCCUGUAGAUAAAGGUGGUGAUAUCACUGACCCAUCAAAUUUUAAACCUAU